GGAAGGUUGGCCUUGUGGUUAAGGCACCAAUCUAGGACUUGGGGACCUGGGUUCAAUUCCUGGCUCUAUCA
rnacentral:tRNA from 1 species